UCUGCAUCUCCAUCUCUCUUUUUCAGUUUUUAAAAUAAAUGUUGAGUAAGUCUGUGGGAAGAAUGGUAAAAUUUAAGAAUGUUUUAUUUUGUUAUUUCUUUAUAGUACUUGAUAGGAGAGAAGACAACUUAAAAGAGAAACCAAAUGAGAAAAGCAGCACCGGCAGAGAUUAAGUUAGACCUAGAGUCUCAAAGGUCUGGAGUUGUGGCGCAGGGCAGGAAGAUGCUGCUCGGGAGACCGUAUUUUGUAUUAGAGCACUGGUUCCAGUCCUGGCUACCCUGAUUCCAACCCAGCUCUGUCAAUGCAUCACGGGAGACAGCAUAUGAUGACGCCAAUACUUGGGUCCCUGUUAACCAUGUGGAAGACCCAAAUGGAGUUCUACCAAAUGGUUCCUGGCUUCAGCCUAGCCCAACUCCUUAAGCUAUAAACAUACAGCCAGUGAACCAGUGUAAGGAAGAUAUCUCUCUAUUUCCCUCUCUCUGUGUCUCUCUAUAUUUUAUGAAGAGGAAAAUAAAUUUAAAAAAUAACAACCAUUUUAAACAA